rnacentral:rRNA from 1 species
UACGAAGGUGACAAGCGUUGUUCGGAAUCAUUGGGCGUAAAGCGCACGUAGGCGGGUUUGAAAGUCGAUUGUGAAAACCCUGGGCUCAACCCGGGACCUGCAGUCGAAACUUCAAGUCUUGAAUGCUCGAGAGGAUGGUGGAAUUCCAGGAGUAGAAGUGAAAUUCGUAGAUAUCUGGAGGAACACCGGAGGCGAAAGCGGCCAUCUGGCGAGACAUUGACGCUAAGGUGCGAAAGCGUGGGGAUCAAACAGG